rnacentral:rRNA from 1 species
UACGUAGGGGGCAAGCGUUGUCCGGAAUUAUUGGGCGUAAAGAGCGCGUAGGCGGUCCGAUAAGUCGACUGUGAAAGUCUAGGGCUCAACCCUGGAAAGCCGGUCGAUACUGUCGGACUAGAGUCCGGAAGAGGCAAGUGGAAUUCCCGGUGUAGCGGUGAAAUGCGCAGAUAUCAGGAGGAACACCAAUGGCGAAGGCAGCUCGCUGGGACGGUACUGACGCUGAGACGCGAAAGCGUGGGGAGCAAACAGG